rnacentral:rRNA from 1 species
UUCCGUAGGGUGAACCUGCGGAAGGAUCAUUACCACACCAAAAAACACCCACGUGAAUGUAUUCUUUAUUAGGCUUGCAUACCCUUCGGGGUGAGCUUGCCGAAGGUUUCGCAAGGGACCGAUGUACUUUUAAUCCCUUUUAUAAAAUAACUGAUCAAACAUUGCAGACAGAAAUGUGUGCAUUUAAUUGAAAUACAACUCUGACCAGUGGAUGUCUAGGCUCGCACAUCGAUGAAGAACGCUGCGAACUGCGAUACGUAAUGCGAAUUGCAGAAUUCAGUGAGUCAUCAAAAUUUUGAACGCAUAUUGCACUUCCGGGUUAGUCCUGGGAGUAUGCUUGUAUCAGUGUCCGUUAAUACAAACUUGUUUCAUUUAUUUGAAACAGAAUGUGGAGGUCUUGUUUCGACAAGUCCUUUUAAACGACACUACCUGUACGUCCUUGUGGGAUAUACAAUAUACAGGUUACUAUGAUUUCAAUUUCUAAAGUUCUGUUCAACUGUAACGGCUUGGAAGGAGGAAUAAAUUGCGGUAGUUUUGCUUGAGUUUCGGCUCGAGUGAACAUCAAUAUUGCUUUUUGUUUUUCUGGAAGAGUUGUGGCGGAAGUGUAGAAUGGGAGGUUGAAUAGUAGUGACUGGUGUAUUCCUUGGCGUAUGGAGGCAAAUUGGGAACUAUAUCCAAUUUGGACCUGAUAUCAAGCAAGACUACCCGCUGAACUUAAGCAUAUCAAUAAGCCGG